ACUGAGGAAAAGGAAACCAACAGGGAUUGCCCCAGUAACGGCGAGUGAAGCGGCAACAGCUCAAAUUUGAAAUCUGGCCCCCAGGGCCCGAGUUGUAAUUUGCAGAGGAUGCUUUUGGCGCGGUGCCUUCCGAGUUCCCUGGAACGGGACGCCAUAGAGGGUGAGAGCCCCGUCUGGUCGGACGCCUAGCCUGUGUAAAGCUCCUUCGACGAGUCGAGUAGUUUGGGAAUGCUGCUCUAAAUGGGAGGUAUAUGUCUUCUAAAGCUAAAUACCGGCCAGAGACCGAUAGCGCACAAGUAGAGUGAUCGAAAGAUGAAAAGCACUUUGAAAAGAGGGUUAAAUAGUACGUGAAAUUGUUGAAAGGGAAGCGCUUGUGACCAGACUUGGGCCCGGUGGAUCAUCCAGCGUUCUCGCUGGUGCACUCCGCCGGGUUCAGGCCAGCAUCAGUUCGCCGCGGGGGAAAAAGGCUUCGGGAACGUGGCUCCUACGGGAGUGUUAUAGCCCGUUGCAUAAUACCCUGGGGCGGACUGAGGUUCGCGCUCCGCAAGGAUGCUGGCGUAAUGGUCAUCAGCGACCCGCU
rnacentral:rRNA from 1 species